rnacentral:lncRNA from 10 species
UGGGGCGCUGACGCGCUCCUCCCCGGAGCGUAUGGCAGCGCAGCGCCGGACGGGGCGUUCUCCCUCCCCCCCUCCUCUCGCUUCCAUCUCCGCCGUCUCCUCGGUCUCCCUUCCCAUCCCGGCCCCUCCUCCGCCAGCCGCGUCCUCCCGGGCUUGGUGAGGAACUGUUCCUGGAGGAGCCGCGGGACGCCAAAACCAGCCAAUGGGAAGCGGCGAUUCGCGGAGAUUGGCACUGAUGAUGGGAAGGUUUUUUUCAUUCCCAUGACUGCAGGAAUAUUGAUCUCAGCGUUACUUUGACCAUUAAUGAAUUAUGAUGGCAAUAAGCAAAGAUUCGCACCUCUAGCCUCCGGGGAGCUUAAUCUUCUGCUACAACAUUUGCAUUUGGUGUCUCUCUACUGCUCAGGCUGGAGUGCAGUGGUGCGAUCAUAGCUCACUGCAGCCUCGACUUCCUGGGCUCAGGUGACCCUCUCGCCUGAAACCAUAUUCCCCCUCAAGUAGCUGAGACUACAGGCAGUGUUUAAGGAGGAUCCAGGAAUACUUUAAGUGACGCCAGCGUUAGUGUUGCCUCCUCAGAAGACUGCUUUCAGGGGAACAGUAUACAUCUGCCCUGUAAAUUCUGGAUGGUAAAUAUGACAAAAACUCUCUCCUUGACCCAGCUCUAGUGAGACUGCUCUAAGCCCUCUUCUCAACAUGGCUCAACCUUGGGCUUCAGUGUACAUUUUGUUGGGCCUGCAUUGCUCAGUUUUAGCAAGAGUCCAGUUAAGUGAAAGAGAAUCUCACAGCUUUGAUAUCAGAUUCUUCCAUAUCUAAACAAAUUCCUCAUCCCCUACCUUCAAUAUCUGAUCACUCUGCCCUGUUUGCACCAAGAAUCUACCCUCACCCUUGAUGUCUCCUCUUAAUAAUUUUCCAUCCACCAAUCUCUGACAAGGUCUCACUAUGUUGCCUAGGCUGGUCUUCAACUCCUGGCCUGAAGUUAUCCUCUCAUCUUGGACUGCCAAAGUGCUGGGAUUUGGCACCACUGAGCCAAAUCCCAGGCGUGAGCCACUGAGCCUGGGCUGUUCUUCCUUCUUUAUAGGCUUAAAAACCUUCAAAAAUUAUCUCAAGAUUAUCCACUCCAGGAAGAACUUGAGCCUCAUUGAUUGAAUUGGUGUACUUCUCCUCCCUUCCUAUAGCAUUUUCUUUAUGUGUCUAUCCUAGCACUUCUCACACAGUGUUGAAUUCAUCUGUCCACCUGGCUCAUCAUACAAAUUGUUCCAUGAGUUCAAGGAUCAUGCUGCAUGCUGGAUUCCCCCGGAAGCUGAUUCUGAGAUGGAGUUUAGUGUACUAAAUAUUUAUGUGGGCCUUUGGAUCAUCACCUGUGAAAAGGAAGAGAAGGAAGCAGGAGUGGACCUAGGGUGAAGUGAAGCUCUGAUGCAAACCUGACAACUGCCUCACCUGACACCAUGAAGAGCUCUGGAGCUAGAAUGGCCUUUUGUUGUUCUGAAUUGGUGUGAGGUAGCUAGGUCUUUACACCCCUGCCACCACCCAUUAUUGGGUAUGGGCCAACCAGGAAGGGGCAUGACCAUGAGUGAUGCAGCUCUGCAGCUGAAGCAAUAACUGAAGAGGCUGACAGCUGAGGGCCAUCUGCUGACAGUACUCCCUGCAGCUGGGCAGCACAUCCUUUCUCAAAAGGGGAUCAAGGCAGUUGCAUCUCCGUGUCCACCAUGGACUAUAUAUUUUUUCUUUGCAUUCCUAGGGCCUCCCAUAGUAUAUGGCACAUAGUAGGCAAAACUGGAGGUCUGUAGGGCAAAUUCAGCUAGUAGAUGAGUAUUGUUUUUUCACCCACAAAGAGAUUUUUAAAAAUUAGUUGUCAACAUUUAAAAAUAAAAAGAUUUCACAUUGAAAU